ACAGGAGAAAGUUGUGAAGGAAGCUACUAACAAGCUAUUCAACUUUCUGGGAAAGCAGGGCUUGGGAGUAUUGAAAAAUAAAUUACAAUAUGUAGAAAAAGAAGUCAAGUAUAUAAGGCAUCUAAUGUCUGAGGGAAAACGAAGAAUAAAUCCAGAGAGGAUUCAGGGAAUUGUUGAAAACUAAGAAAGAACUAAAAAGUUUUAAGAGAAAGAUUUUUUUAAGGAAUCAGGAGCCAUGAAGUCUGAAAGAAAAUGGAUACUCCCUGAUGGGAGAGAAAUGCUGAAUAAAGCACCAAUGAGGCAAAUAAUAAUUUUUUUAUAUCAAGAGAGUCAUUGGAAGGUGCAAGCAAUGUGUGAUGUGCUAAGAAACUAUGUCUGUGUAGGAAUAUACACUUCAGUGAAGCAAAUAUGCAGAGGAUGUACCAUAUGUCAAAAGGACCCGUGGGUUGUUGGCUUAAACCCCACCUUUGGAAUUCCCCAUUCACCACCAUCAACCAGGAAAUUGGGUCCUGAUUUGGACCUGGAAAGACUUAGAACUCUGGCCUGAAUGGGAAGGACCAUUCCAAGUACUACUAACCACUGAAACAGCCGUAAGAACUGCGGAAGAAGGUUGGACUCACUAUACUCGAGUGAAUGCAUCCGUCGACCCUAGUACCUGGGAAGCUGUUCCUACAGAAGACUUGUUGAAAGUU